AACUUCUGAAUGUUGACCUCGGAUCAGGUAGGAAUACCCGCUGAACUUAAGCAUAUCAAUAAGCGGAGGAAAAGAAACCAACAGGGAUUGCCCUAGUAACGGCGAGUGAAGCGGCAACAGCUCAAAUUUGAAAUCUGGCUCUCGGGCCCGAGUUGUAAUUUGUAGAGGAUGCUUUUGAUGCGGUGCCUUCCGAGUUCCCUGGAACGGGACGCCAUAGAGGGUGAGAGCCCCGUCUGGUUGGAUGCCAAAUCUCUGUAAAGCUCCUUCGACGAGUCGAGUAGUUUGGGAAUGCUGCUCUAAAUGGGAGGUAUAUGUCUUCUAAAGCUAAAUACCGGCCAGAGACCGAUAGCGCACAAGUAGAGUGAUCGAAAGAUGAAAAGCACUUUGAAAAGAGAGUUAAAAAGUACGUGAAAUUGUUGAAAGGGAAGCGUUUAUGACCAGACUUGGGCUUGGAUAAUCAUCUGGGGUUCUCUCCAGUGCACUUUUCCAGUCCAGGCCAGCAUCAGUUUUCGCCGGGGGAUAAAGGCUUCGGGAAUGUGGCUCUCUCCGGGGAGUGUUAUAGCCCGUUGCGUAAUACCCUGGCGGGGACUGAGGU
rnacentral:rRNA from 1 species